rnacentral:rRNA from 1 species
GAUGAACGCUGGCGGCGUGCUUAACACAUGCAAGUCGAGCGAAGCAGUUAAGUUGAUUUCUUCGGAUUGAUUCUUAACUGACUGAGCGGCGGACGGGUGAGUAACGCGUGGGUGACCUGCCCCAUACCGGGGGAUAACCGCUGGAAACGGCUGCUAAUACCGCAUAAGCGCACAGAGCUGCAUGGCUCGGUGUGAAAAACUCCGGUGGUAUGGGAUGGGCCCGCGUCUGAUUAGGCAGUUGGCGGGGUAACGGCCCACCAAACCGACGAUCAGUAGCCGGCCUGAGAGGGCGACCGGCCACAUUGGGACUGAGACACGGCCCAAACUCCUACGGGAGGCAGCAGUGGGGAAUAUUGCACAAUGGGGGAAACCCUGAUGCAGCGACGCCGCGUGAGCGAAGAAGUAUUUCGGUACGUAAAGCUCUAUCAGC